rnacentral:rRNA from 1 species
AACGAACGCUGGCGGCAGGCUUAACACAUGCAAGUCGAACGCCCCGCAAGGGGAGUGGCGCCCGGGUGAGUAACGCGUGGAUAUCUGCCUUUUGGUUCGGAAUAACCCCGGGAAACUGGGGCUAAUACCGGAUGGUUCCUACGGGAUAAAGAUUUAUCGCCAAAAGAUGAGUCCGCGUACGAUUAGCUAGUUGGUGAGGUAAUGGCUCACCAAGGCGACGAUCGUUAGCUGGUCUGAGAGGACGAUCAGCCACACUGGGACUGAGACACGGCCCAGACUCCUACGGGAGGCAGCAGUGGGGAAUAUUGGACGAUGGGGGCAACCCUGAUCCAGCCAUGCCGCGUGAGUGAUGAAGGCCUUCGGGUUGUAAAGCUCUUUUGGCGGGGACGAUGAUGACGGUACCCGCAGAAUAAGCCCCGGCUAACUUCGUG